GGGCCGGUAGCUCAGAGGAUUAGAGCACGUGGCUACGAACCACGGUGUCGGGGGUUCUAAUCCUUCCUCGCCCA
rnacentral:tRNA from 1 species